GGACCUUUAGCUCAAUCGGUAGAGCUUUGUACUUAUGAGGUUAACUUGACCUGGUCAUCACGUGGCUUAAUGCAAGGGUCCCGAGUUCGAUUCUCGGAAGGUCCA